GGACGUGAUAAGCUGCGAUAAGCUAUGGGGAGUUGCACGUAAACUUUGAUCCAUAGAUUUCCGAAUGAGGAAACUCACCAUGAGUAAUGUCAUGGUAUCUUCGAGUGAAUACAUAGCUCGUUGAGGGGAACUCGGGGAACUGAAACAUCUAAGUACCCGAAGGAAGAGAAAGAAAUUCGAUUCCGCUAGUAGCGGCGAGCGAACGCGGAACAGCCCAAACCUAAGAAGUUCGCUUCUUAGGGGUUGCGGACAUAUCAUCAGGAAGAGGUUAUUACAGACGAAGAGUUUUGGAAAGCUCCGCCAUAGAAGGUAACAGCCCUGUAGUCGAAGUGAGAAGACUUCCGAUAUGAUCCAGAGUACCACGGGACA
rnacentral:rRNA from 1 species